rnacentral:rRNA from 1 species
GUAAGGAAUAUUGGACAAUGGACGCAAGUCUGAUCCAGCCAUGCCGCGUGAAGGAUUAAGGUCCUCUGGAUUGUAAACUUCUUUUAUAAGGGACGAAAAAAGGCUUUUCUAAGUCGUCUGACGGUACCUUAUGAAUAAGCACCGGCUAACUCCGUGCCAGCAGCCGCGGUAAUACGGAGGGUGCAAGCGUUAUCCGGAUUCACUGGGUUUAAAGGGUGCGUAGGCGGGCAGGUAAGUCAGUGGUGAAAUCCUAGAGCUUAACUCUAGAACUGCCAUUGAUACUAUAUGUCUUGAAUAUUGUGGAGGUAAGCGGAAUAUGUCAUGUAGCGGUGAAAUGCUUAGAUAUGACAUAGAACACCUAUUGCGAAGGCAGCUUACUACGCAUAUAUUGACGCUGAGGCACGAAAGCGUGGGGAUCAAACAGGAUUAGAUACCCUGGUAGUCC